rnacentral:rRNA from 1 species
GACGAACGCUGGCGGCGUGCUUAACACACGCAAGUCGAACGGAAAGGCCCUGCUUUUGUGGGGUGCUCGAGUGGCGAACGGGUGAGUAACACGUGAGUAACCUGCCCUUGACUUUGGGAUAACUUCAGGAAACUGGGGCUAAUACCGGAUAGGAGCUCCUGCUGCAUGGUGGGGGUUGGAAAGUUUCGGCGGUUGGGGAUGGACUCGCGGCUUAUCAGCUUGUUGGUGGGGUAGUGGCUUACCAAGGCUUUGACGGGUAGCCGGCCUGAGAGGGUGACCGGCCACAUUGGGACUGAGAUACGGCCCAGACUCCUACGGGAGGCAGCAGCGGGGAAUAUUGCACAAUGGGCGGAAGCCUGAUGCAGCAACGCCGCGUGCGGGAUGACGGCCUUCGGGUUGUAACCGCUUUCGCCUGUGACGAAGCGUGAGUGACGGUAAUGGGUAAAGAAGCACCGGCUAACUACGUGCCAGCAGCCGCGGUGAUACGUAGGGUGCGAGCGUUGUCCGGAUUUAUUGGGCGUAAAGGGCUCGUAGGUGGUUGAUCGCGUCGGAAGUGUAAUCUUGGGGCUUAACCCUGAGCGUGCUUUCGAUACGGGUUGACUUGAGGAAGGUAGGGGAGAAUGGAAUUCCUGGUGGAGCGGUGGAAUGCGCAGAUAUCAGGAGGAACACCAGUGGCGAAGGCGGUUCUCUGGGCCUUUCCUGACGCUGAGGAGCGAAAGCGUGGGGAGCGAACAGGCUUAGAUACCCUGGUAGUCCACGCUGUAAACGGUGGGUACUAGGUGUGGGGUCCAUUCCACGGGUUCCGUGCCGUAGCUAACGCUUUAAGUACCCCGCCUGGGGAGUACGGCCGCAAGGCUAAAACUCAAAGGAAUUGACGGGGCCCCGCACAAGCGGCGGAGCAUGCGGAUUAAUUCGAUGCAACGCGUAGAACCUUACCUGGGUUUGACAUGGAUCGGGAGUGCUCAGAGAUGGGUGUGCCUCUUUUGGGGUCGGUUCACAGGUGGUGCAUGGCUGUCGUCAGCUCGUGUCGUGAGAUGUUGGGUUAAGCCCCGCAACGAGCGCAACCCUUGUUCACUGUUGCCAGCACGUUAUGGUGGGGACUCAGUGGAGACCGCCGGGGUCAACUCGGAGGAAGGUGGGGAUGACGUCAAGUCAUCAUGCCCCUUAUGUCCAGGGCUUCACGCAUGCUACAAUGGCUGGUACAGAGAGUGGCGAGCCUGUAAGGGUGAGCGAAUCUCGGAAAGCCGGUCUCAGUUCGGAUUGGGGUCUGCAACUCGACCUCAUGAAGUCGGAGUCGCUAGUAAUCGCAGAUCAGCAACGCUGCGGUGAAUACGUUCCCGGGGCUUGUAUACACCGCCCGUCAAGUCAUGAAAGUUGGUAACACCCGAAGCCGGUGGCCUAACCGUUGUGGGGGAGCCGUCGAAGGUGGGACUGGUGAUUAGGACUAAGUCGUAACAAGGUAGCCGUACCGGAAGG